AGCGGAUCUUGUCCUUCGGGAUAAGGUUAGCGGCGGACGGGUGAGUAACACGUGGGUAACCUGCCUGUAAGACUGGGAUAACAUUCGGAAACGAAUGCUAAUACCGGAUACGCGAUAUGGUCGCAUGACUGAAUCGGGAAAGAUGGAGCAAUCUAUCACUUACAGAUGGACCCGCGGCGCAUUAGCUAGUUGGUGAGGUAACGGCUCACCAAGGCGACGAUGCGUAGCCGACCUGAGAGGGUGAUCGGCCACACUGGGACUGAGACACGGCCCAGACUCCUACGGGAGGCAGCAGUAGGGAAUCUUCCGCAAUGGACGAAAGUCUGACGGAGCAACGCCGCGUGAGUGAUGAAGGUUUUCGGAUCGUAAAGCUCUGUUGCCAGGGAAGAAUGCUUGGGAGAGUAACUGCUCUCAAGGUGACGGUACCUGAGAAGAAAGCCCCGGCUAACUACGUGCCAGCAGCCGCGGUAAUACGUAGGGGGCAAGCGUUGUCCGGAAUUAUUGGGCGUAAAGCGCGCGCAGGCGGCCUUGUAAGUCUGUUGUUUAAACUUGGGGCUCAACCCCAAGUCGCAAUGGAAACUGCAAAGCUUGAGUACAGAAGAGGAAAGUGGAAUUCCACGUGUAGCGGUGAAAUGCGUAGAGAUGUGGAGGAACACCAGUGGCGAAGGCGACUUUCUGGGCUGUAACUGACGCUGAGGCGCGAAAGCGUGGGGAGCAAACAGGAUUA
rnacentral:rRNA from 1 species